AUGGGGACUGGGCUGAAAGGUGGCCCGCGGGCCUCCACGCCCGGCCUAGACCAAAGGGCUCGGGGCUCCCGCGGGGGACGCAACGCCUUCAGCCACGCGGGCGCUGACCCUGAAAAGCGGCGCACAGGGACCCAGCCUGGGCCCCUGGCAGGGAGAAAUCGCGAGAGGGGAGAGGAGGUGCGGGGACGGUCGAAUCGCUCAUUCGUUAUUCACGAUUUAUUAGGGAUAGCGGCCGCGUCUGUCCCUCCAGAAAGCUCAGUUAUCCAUCCGGCCAGCAGCGCCAUGAAACGCGCUGACGGUGGGAGGCUCGAGUUAGAAAUUAGGAAAGGAAUCUUCGCCCGGUUUUGGAGCGCCUGUCUCCUCUUCUCUCGUUGCUCGCAGCCAAGGCAGUCCCGGAGCUGGGGGCCCCGGGUGAAUGUUUUCACCCUCUGGCCGGCGACCAGGAGACCUGCGCACAUUAGCCGCCAAGUGACCCUAGCUUGAGCCUGCAGCCACACCGGCGGGAUGGGGGCGGGGAGGAAGAGGAAGGGCGGAGAGAUUUCCUUCUAGAGGGAGUGGUUGGAGAACCCGCGGGAGAAGGGCCAAGGGAAGAUCCGGUCACCUGCUCCCGAGUCUGCACCCGGAAGGGCGAGUUCACCGGCCCCAGAGGAAAGGGGACACGCCCACUGUUCCCAGGGCAAAUGUGUCGCCGGCAUCCUGGACUCUGCCAGGGAAGACGCACAUCCACUACGCUUUGCCGGGAGGGGAGCGCGGCAGGGACUCCCGGUCGGCCGCCCCUCUCUGGCUGCAAGACCCCGAGCAAGAGAAACCUGUAGGGGCUUUGCGGAGACCUGAAUCCCACCCACCAACCACACGGGCACCUACGGGCUGCCCCUCGGGGCAGUAUCAGCCAGUGGGAAGGGGGCUGCCUGAGGGGCCGCCGGAGUCCAUCCAUUUAUUCCUCGGUUGUUAAGCGCUAGAAAGGGGUAUGCUAAGACCCCAUUACCCACUAAAACUCCGGUUUCAUCUUUUGCGUCCUGGAUGACCAGUCCCCACAUUCCUGGCCUUUCUGGUUUCUCAGGAGAACCUUCUGACUCAACUCUUCCCACAUCGGAAGACUUUCCUAGUCUUUGUUCUAUACUGGCCGACAUAGGAGCACCUGUCACGUGCCAAUGUCAAAUACUGCGCUAGGCACUGGGCAUUCAAGGCACAGGAGCCUGGCUUUUGCGCGGGGCGCUCACAGGCCGGUGGGUGUAAACCCUGAGGGACACACAGCCUGUCCCUUUAGCAACCACCACUUCUGUUGUGAGCUCCCGCUAAGGGUAGGUGAGUACUGGGGAGCGCUUCCAGAAGAGGCCUCCUUUGAGCCGAAUCUGCAGAGACCAAGUGUCUACGAGAACUGCUUAAGAGUGCUUUGCACAUUCUCAUCCACAAAGGUCGAGGCUCUCACUGCGCCCAGGAACACGUCUUGGCAGACAUUAGGUACCCCUUGAUUUUGUGUUUGCAUCUCACCCGGUCCUCUAGCUGACAAUGGCAUCAGAAGAGUCAGUGUCUGUCACAGGCUAGAGGCUCGCAGAGGAUAGGAACGCGGGAAAUCUAGGCAAUUACUUCCAGCACAUACGAAGAGCUAUUGCAAGGAUCAGAUCCCUUUAAAAACCGUGACGGUGACAAGGCGGGAGAGGGCGGCUCCUCUCGUGCUUUCAGGAACGUCUUUACCUCUGUGUUCUUUACACCUUUUAUCUCCCCCAAACAAGGUCCUUGGUCUGUUUCUGCUUCUAUUUCUCCAUUCUCCUCCCCACCUCUCUGUGUAUUUCCAGGGGAAAAAAUUGUGUUGCUUUACUGAUGCUUCUCGUAUUAAAUGCGUCUCUUUCCCUCUCUUCAUUGUCUUGUCUUCCCCAUUCACUCUGCUUAGUUCUCUUGUCAUGUCCCUUCUUUCUCUAUCACAACUGUGUUCUCCCUUUCUCACCUUUGUUUCUCUUAAUACCUGUUUCUCUCCCAAUCUCUUCCAAAUGUAGUAUUUAGAGACUGUAACAUCGAUUGAGCCACACAAUAGAAAACUGUCCAACCUCCACUGUAAAUUCAUUCUUAAUCCCACGAAAAAUGCUUCCUGAAACGUGUUGCAUGCACAGUGAGACAAAAACCUCUGUAGGCGGGGUCGGGGGUGUGGAAGGACGUGCUGGAUAAAUUAUCCCAUUACUGACUGAGCAGCAGUGAAUUUUCAAGAAGAGUGAUUCUCUUAGAAAAAGUAUUGCCGCUGCCAUUUAAAUGCAAAAUUUAGAUUUUGAGUAACAGACUUAGGUUUUUAUCUUCCGGGAAAAAAAAAAAAAAAAAAAAAAAAGACAAAAAGAGUUGCAGCGUCCCUGGGUGGGCUCGAACCACCAACCUUUCGGUUAACAGCCGAACGCGCUAACCGAUUGCGCCACAGAGACCGCGACGACUACUAGCGUAGCGGAGAGCCGAGUCAAUGGGAGCGAGCCUGGACGGCGCAGACGCCGUAAGAGAUUCCGCCAUCGGGCGAAAGAAGCGGGACCCAGCGGAGAAAGGUAAGGAUCCUGAUGGGAGAGGGGGGCGACGGGGCUUGGGAAGAGAGGACGCGGGACGUGGACGCUCUUCCUCCACUGGCUCGGCGAGACGUCGACUCUGGCUAUCCUCAGGUUCUACCUCAAACGUGGAGAGGCCCGGAACGUCCCUUUUUAGGGUGACCUGAGACUGAGGUUACGUGAAGUCAGACCGCAGGAGGUCCCCCAAAUCAGAACAAUCUUUGGCUUCCAAACUCUCCUUUAGAGCUGAACCCCUGCAACCGCAGAAUACUCGCGACGCCUAUCCGCGACGCCUUCCCCUUCCCACCUUGCAUCAUUAAAUUUCCAUUUAAUGGGCGCCUCCUACAUACCAAGCACUGUUCUGGGCCAGUGAAUAUUUAGAGCCUAACCAAGUGCCUGAUACACAGUAAGCGUAAGGAUUUCUGAAGUGAAUAAAUAAGCUAGCACAGCUAAUACGAACAACUCAAACAUCACGUUGAUAAGCGUCACGAUGUCGCUUCUGCUGAGGCCGAAGCCCCCUACACCCAGUUUCACCGGCCCACGUGUGUGCAGGCUCCGCCUCCAGUCCCGGCGGUCUGGA